CAUAGUGGCACACAGAUACACACACUGACACACUGAUACACACAGCUUGACACACAGUGUGUAUCUCUGUGUGUGUAUGUAUCUGUGUGUCAAGGUGUGUGUAUCUAUGAUUCAAA